CGAGGCGCGCACCACGCGGCCCCUUCCUCCAGGCAUUCGCACCACCCCCCACUCCCGUUGCAUGCUGGGAUUGUAGUUGAUCGCCUGCGAUCAACGGCCGGAAGCGGCUAAAACUACUCCUGCCUGCAUACCCCGCAGGAGCAAACCGCGCCAUGUCUCCCUCCAGGGAUCCGCACCGCUCACAAUCCUGUUUAGUGCUGGGAUUGUAGUCCUGCGAGCCUACGACUAAUAGCUGGAUUAACUCUUAAGUACUCCACAACUACACGCUUUUGAAACUGGCGUUGGCAUAGCGUUAGUUCUGUGCAGGGCGGACGCAGCAGGACAGAAUCUCCCUGGGCAUCUUUUCGGAGCAUCAAUUUUACUGCAAAAUUUUGAAAAAACAAAUUUAAUUGAUUUCCAAGGUUUGUCAAGGAGGACAGAAACUCAGAGCACCCUGCACUUGGGGAUCGGCACUAGGAGCUGCUCUCUGGAUGGGGAGAUGGGAGCUAGCAGCUCACAAUGGGGUCACAAGAAUAUUGGUUCUUCUUUUAUCUGAAGUGAGGAGCACCAGAGGACUGAUCACGGCAUAGACAUUGACUACAAGACUCUGAACUUGCUGGUUGAUUGGGCCAUAUGCCCACAACAUUGCUGAGGAGAAGGAGAUGAUGAAAUCCACCCAACAGAGGACCACAGAGAAACUUACCAGCAGCAGUAUGGUCUGGAUGGCCCGUUUCUCAGGGGAAGCUCCUGGGGAAGGACCAUUGCUGUGAAGGUGGUGGGAUCACCUCUGAGGCCUGAAUAAGAGAGUCACCAUGUAUGCAAUUAAGAACAGCAGUAUUCCUACCAGGAAAGCAUCCCUAAGUGUUGUCAGAAUAAGAAACGUGGCCCUGAGGAUGAAGCUCAUGGAGAAAACUGAGCAGUACUUACCUAUAUUCAGUACAUUUGUCUGGCUCACACUGGAAGCAGCUACAGUGUAGAAGAUCCUGUUACUACUGAAAGACAAGUUGAGGAACCAUAAGAAGAAGAAAACAUGGAUAAUGUAAUUUGAAGAUUUAUGUUUAAACCUUGCCAAUCAGGAGGUGCUGGGGCUGAUGGUGGUGGCCUGGAACACACUCAGGGGGCAGGUGGUGCAGAUAGAGAGGCCCCACAACACCCUGCUCAGGUGGAAAAGUGCCUUACACUUGAAGUCAUUCUGAAGUUCAAUGAUGCAAACAGAUUUGGAGACUGCAAUAACAGUGCAAUGAAGAAGUUCACUAUGUGGACGAGGGGCAAGGGACAGAUGAUCAAGUCAGUGGGUUUUAGUCUGUGAUACAGAAGGAGAGUGAAGAUGCUGAAGAGGAACAGAAAAGUAUUGACUGAGAUUCCAACAGCAACUUGUAAAACAAAGCAGCUUUUUAAUAACAUACAUGAUAUAUAUGUACAUUGUAGUGGCAAAGAGGAAACAUAUUUGUAUAUCUGAAAAAACAAGUUUAGACAUCUUCAGUGCUGUUCUAUAGUUAAAAUUAUCACAACUAUGAUUAUGUUUAUUUCUCCCAAUUAUUAAGACUUACAAUGUAAUAUAAAUUAUUAGAAAA
rnacentral:lncRNA from 1 species